ACGGCAGUGGUCAAACGGCAUGACAGGAGCUUCCCAAGCUUCUAGUCCGGGUUCAAUUCCCGGCUGCCGUA
rnacentral:tRNA from 1 species